UCCUCUUGUUUUCUUCCCAGUCAGGUUGGACUUCUUCCCUGGGCAGCUCAAACAGGAGGCCUGGAAAGUGCUGCUCACCCUGCCCUGACCCAAGAAUGGACUUGUAAUAGCAAAUUACAUCCCAGAGUUGAGGAGGUCAGUGGGGAUGGUUUCCUUCUAAGCAGCUGGGUGACAGGGAAAUAGUUUAGUCAGCAGAGUGCUUGCAAGCUUCAAGAUUGAAGUUUGAUCCACAGAAGCCAAGCUAACAAGCCAGGUUGGUGUUUGUCAUCUCAAAACAGAAGGUCCUGAGGCUUGCAGGGCAGCCAACCUAGCCUACUCGGUGAGCUCCAGAGCCAGAAAACAACCUUGUCUCAAAACCAAAGAUUGACAUGGAGGCUGCUGGGUCUUUGGUGUUGUGAUGUGCAUGGUUUUGACUGUGCAUAAGGCAGAGCUAAAGCCCAGGAGGGACGCUGCAGGACCUUGGAUCAAACACCACAGAAGGAAGCACACAGGAGGAAGGAAGGUCCUGACAUACAGGCCUGGUUUGACAAGUCUUGUAGACAGAAGGCUGGGCACAUGCCCACAGACACUGACUUCCUGCGUUGAGUCUAUGUGAGUAGACACUUGCUAAUUCAGACAGACUCUACACAUACCCAGACUUCAGUCUUGAAGAGCCUGUGAAGGGCCAGGACCAUGGCAUUGCAGAGGACCACUGGAGCCAGGUGGCAGUUCACACUCUCUUCAAGAGUUCUCUGAGCUUGCCCCAGGGAGAAGACACCCAGAAGAAGGUGAACAUUUUUUUACCAUGGAACCAUGGAUCCCAGAGAGGCCCCACAGGCGUGCUUUCUGCCCCACCCCCACUUCCUCUACUCUCUGAAAACUUACAUCUGGCCAUCCAUUUGAUUCAAGUAACAGCAGGAGACAAUCAACUUGGAUUCUGCGGGUAAAAAAGUGCUUAUGCCUGAGAUGACUCUGUGGCUGAACAGAUGUUACUGUUAUUUGCU